GACGAACGCUGGCGGCGUGCUUAACACAUGCAAGUCGAGCUGUAAGGCCCUUUCGGGGGUACACGAGCGGCGAACGGGUGAGUAACACGUGGGUGACCUGCCCUUAGCUCUGGGAUAAGCCUGGGAAACUGGGUCUAAUACCGGAUAUGACUCCAUGACGCAUGUUGUGGGGUGGAAAGCCUUGUGCGGCUAGGGAUGGGCCCGCGGCCUAUCAGCUUGUUGGUGGGGUGANGGCCUACCAAGGCGACGACGGGUAGCCGGCCUGAGAGGGCGACCGGCCACACUGGGACUGAGACACGGCCCAGACUCCUACGGGAGGCAGCAGUGGGGAAUCUUGCGCAAUGGGCGAAAGCCUGACGCAGCGACGCCGCGUGGGGAUGACGGCCU
rnacentral:rRNA from 1 species